GGGCUUCUUCUCCCAUCACAGUGGUUCCCACGGUUGUCUUAGAAACCAGUCUCCGAGGCUUGGCAAAGCAGGAGCCCUCCUUGGCAGUGCUUGGGUGUCGGGGCUCUGAGGCUCCGGCCUGACCUCUUCACGGGGUCGACGGGAUCGUCUCCGGAUGCCAGGAGUCCCAAAGGGCCGACCAGGAUGAGGAAACCCCAGGCGGAGUCCGGGGGAAGCAGCACGGCAUCCCAGCCUCAGGCCUGCCCGGACGGUGAUGGUUGGGGUAAGAUUGGGGAAGAUGCCAGGUGAUAGAAUCCACCCUGCCUCUGACAGCAUCCAAUCUGGAGCAAAGGCUUCUUUCAACCUUCCCCCAAGCUCCCAAUACAAGCCCAAAUUCUGGAACAAGUCCUUUCCAACACCUCCUUCAGAGAAGCUCCCUGGCUCCAGGCAGUGCUUGCUCCCCUCACUGCAGCAGGAAGCCUAACUUGCGAACUGCAGGUGUGCUCCAGGUGGUCACUGGAUGCAAGGUAUUGACAGAUGGAUCCCAUUGAUACCCCCACUGCAUAACCAUGUAAGCCUAUCAUCCCCCACUUGCACAUGAGGAAACGGAGGUCCACAGGGUGGGGAAGGGAAGACAUAAUUUGUCCUUCAAAUGCGAUACCGGUGAGAUGUGAGAGGCAGCAUCCCUCAUAACUCAGCAAGGCAGUGGGCACACUAGGACCCUCCCAGGCAGAUCGGGUGCGUGGUCGCCCCCAUUGCAUAGCAUGGGUGGGAGUUGGGGAGACCAGACAUGGGUCUCACCACCUCUGCACUGGCCCGACCUCUCUGCAGGCCCCCAGGACAGGGUUAGCAUCUGCUUGCUGGCAGGCCUGGCCACCAGAAGUAUUUGCUUAUGUCUAAGGUCCCUGUAGUUGUGGUUCACAGGAUUGGGGCUGCUCCUGAGAUUCAGCACCACACAGGCACUGCAUGGAACUGUGCUAUGGUGGUGGGCACUCGCUUUCCAGAUAGGGCCCAUGUUGCCAGCAGGCAUGAUGCAUCAUUUACCCUACCCUGAGUGCAAUAUGUGGUUUUAUAGAAAAAAACUUGGGCCAGAUGCGGUGGCUCACACCUGUAAUCCCAGCAGUUUAGGAGGCCAAGGUAGGCGGAUCAAAAGGUCAGGAACUCAAGACCAGCCUGGCUAAUAUAGUGAAACCUUGUCUCUAUGAAAAAUACAAGAAUUAGCCAGAUGUGGUGGUGGGCACCUGUAGUCCCAGCUACACCGGAUACUCCGGAGGCUGAGGCAGGAGAAUCGCUUGAACCCAGGAGGCAGAAGUUGCGGUGAGCCAAGAUCAUGCCACUGCACUCCAGCCUAGGCGACAGAGCAAAACUCCUUCUCAAAAAAAAAAAAAAAAAAAAAAAAAAGAAAGAAAAGGAAAAGUAUUUGUAGAUGAAUGAAGGUGAUUCCUUUGAAUAUUGAAAAUGAUUUUAUUUUAGCCAUUGGUCUGACACUCAUUCCGAUGGGGUGACAUGUGUCCCUGCCUUAGUCAUCAGAGCACAGGAGUUUGCUACACCUCCCCUCAUCUGAAGAUUCAGCCCAUGAGCAGGAACGCCUGUCUUUGUGUCAUACCAACAGAGAGGAUGUGUCUGGUUUCACCAUUCACUGCAGAGGCAGAAAUUACCCAGAAAGAAGAGACAGUCUGUUCCCGGGAGUGUGUCCUUUUGACCCCGCAUGGGGGUCAUCUCCCUUCCUUGGCCAGGACCCCCAACCUGAACACAGAGGUAGAGAACAUGUGAAGGGCUCCCAUUCCCAGGUGGUCCAGGGUGCAAGCUCUGAGCCUGUGGUCCUGGUCACUGCCCUUUUCUCCACAGCAUGGCAGUCACCAUCCUGGGCUGGGGUACAGAGGGGCUUUGCAGAGAUCAGCAUAACAAAAGCAUCACUGAGAUGCUGCAAUAGGAAACCGUGAUACCUUCGUGGGCUGCCAAGGCAGCCUAAGCUAUUUGUUGCUGCACUCAGUGUCCCCAGACAGCUGUGUGGCUGUCACUGCCUCUGAUGUGUCCAUUUUACUUCUCUUCUCCUGCCUCAGCUUCUGCUCUGAACUCUGUCUCUAACUUACAAGAAAUCAAGCUCACUGGAUUCUGAGCUCUUCGGGGUCAAGGACUGUGUCAGUAGUUCAUGUCUCUUUCUAGAGAUCACAGCUUAGUAUCUGGCACAGAGCAGAUACUCAGCCAAUGCCAAAUGAUUCAUUUGCCAGAAGGCUGAAUAUCAUCCAUAAUCCUAGUCAAUGCAAAUACAUUUUGCCGGUGGGGUGUGUUUGUCCUCUGAAGGCGUUUUCCCAGGCUUUGUAAAUACAUACAGGCCAUUUAGAAAUUUGAAUGUCAAAGAGUAAAGGAGCUUAGAAAGUAAGCAUUGGAGAAGUGUGGGAGGGUGGUAUUAUUUACAAAACAUUCCUGGGUCCUUGUGAGUUCUAUACACCCUUGAUGAGCACUGAUUCUGGGCCAGGCCAGACACCCAGCUGGACCCAGGAGAUACUGAGGUGAGUAAAGCCAAAAUGCCUCCAUUCAGCAGGAGGCGGGCAGUCACACCAAAGUGAUAAAGGCACAAAAUGCAGAGGCAGCAGAGGAGCAAUGACUACCUUGUUCCAGGACUCUGUGACCUCAGGGAGAGCUUUCAGAGGAGGACAUCUGUGCAAGGCUUGGAAGGAUGAACACAAAUUUGCCUAGCAGAAAAGGGAGCCAAGCAAAUCCUGAUGGAGAACAGCUUGGGUGAGAGUGUGAGCCACAGGAUUGAGGGGCUCAGGCAUGUAACUGGAGGAGCAGAAAGAAUGAGGGGAGAUAAAGUUGGGAGGUCAGCAGAGGUCAGUCACAGAAGGUUUUGAAUCCUGGUGAGGAAGCAAUGGGUGCUGCACAAGGGACAUGGGCCUGGAGGAGAUGCAGUUAGCUCUGAGUGAAGAUGGAGCAUGCCAUCCACCAGGGAACCACAAGAUGCAAUAGAAAUAAGAACCCUGAGAAGCCUGCACAAAGAAUGAGGGGCCCAGGGGUAGCACCAAGAAGGUCCCUGUCAGAGGCCAGCUUUGAACGGAGACAGAAAAGACUCUUGAGGGCCUCAGCUGCUGCAAACCUCCUCAAUAAAUCAUAUUUUACCUUCCAAUAUUUGCUAAAGAAUACUAACUAUUGGAAGAGCAAUGGCCCAUUGAUAAUAAUUAUUCCCUCAAUGUACAUUUUUUACAAUUCUCAAAAUGCUCUCGGUCCAGUCUCUCAUUGGAACCCCCAUAAAAUCCCAUUUUACAAAUAGGGAAAUGAGGCCCUGUGAUGUCACACCGAGGUUUGCAGCAGUUCCAGGAUAGAAAAUAGGAAGCACUUUCAUCUCAGCCCUGGGUAUAAGUCUCAAAAUUCCUUUUCGGGGAGGGGAUCCUUGAGGCCAUCCAGCAGCCCAUAGUCCAAGUCUUUUUCUUCCUCCUUGGGCUUCUCCACACCUGUAUCCAAAGCUUCCUUCUCCUCCUUUGUUCUCAGGUACCACUACCAGUUGUUGGGCAGGGAGACCUCCUGCUGCUGCCCAUCCUAUGUUGCAUCCUCCAACAUGGGUGCACUGUGGUUCAGCCAGCACCUAUACCACCUGCAGCCCAGGGCUCCUGUGGUGGGCCUGAGGUUCCUCCCUAUCAAAUGGAGAUAUGCUGGGGUUGCUGCCUUUGCUGAAGCCCAUGUCCAGGUCAUCUUGGGGGUGGCCAAGGUUACAGGGUCCUGGGGACAGGCCAGAGGGCUGCAGGAGCAAAAACCAAGAGGAUGAGGGGAUCUGUGAGACAGACCGCCUGAAUCCACAUCCUAGAGACUAGGUGCAAGGCCUGGGGAAGACUGGUUCACCUCUCUGGGCGUCAGUUUCCUCCCCUGUAAAGUGGGAGUUAUAACAGAUUCACUCCUACAGUUGUCUCUGAGCUUUAUGGCAGGUAAUGUGUGCAAAGUACUUCGCACAAGGCCUGGCACAUGGUAGGUGAUAAAUAAUAAACAGGGUUACUAUGAUAUCAUCAUCUGAGCUAGGUCACUCAUGCACUUCUCCAAUGCUUCAGGGUGCCCCUCCAUCCCUCACAGGGUAGCAGCAAGUGCUACCCCAGCAGGAUGUGAUAAGGAAGUCAGGCGGUUGGGGAGGAUGUUUCUCGCAGCCCAAACCCCAGUGGAAUGUUUCCCUCUGAACAGGGUCUGUGAAAUGGUGGGGGCUUACAAAUCGGUGCAGCUUGGACUAACAGGCUCCGGCGGCCACUUUGUUUUCUGGACAUGCUUUGGACUGUGAGCCGAGCCUCUAUGAAUCAUCACUUCAGCCUCUGAUUGGUCCUGGGCCAAACUUUCACUUCAGCCCCUGAUUGGUCUUGGGCCAAAAUUUCACUUCAGCCUCUGAUUGGUCCCAGGCUAAGGUCCCGGGCCAAGCGAAGUCGUGCUAUCUCCAAGACAGCUCACAGACCAGUGAGCACAUUCUUCCUCUUCCCAGUUCACAAAACCCCCAGAUUCAGCCUCCUAGUUGGCAACCCUCUUUCGGGUCCCCUCUCUGCUGGGGAGAGCUUUCUUCUUUUGCUUAUUAAACUUCUGUUCCAAACUCAUUCUUUG
rnacentral:lncRNA from 1 species